rnacentral:hammerhead_ribozyme from 1 species
GUACUGCUGAAGAGUCCCACAAUAGGACGAAAUUGCCAUUCAGUAC